UACGUAGGGGGCAAGCGUUGUCCGGAUUUAUUGGGCGUAAAGAGCGUGUAGGCGGCCACACAGGUCUGCUGUGAAAACUCGAGGCUCAACCUCGAGCUGUCGGUGGAAACCGUGUGGCUAGAGUCCGGAAGAGGAGAGUGGAAUUCCCGGUGUAGCGGUGAAAUGCGCAGAUAUCGGGAAGAACACCCGUGGCGAAGGCGGCUCUCUGGGACGGUACUGACGCUGAGACGCGAAAGCGUGGGGAUCGAACAGG
rnacentral:rRNA from 1 species